GCUUACGGCCAUAUCAGCCUGGGUACGCCCGAUCUUGUCUGAUCUCGGAAGCUAAGCAGGGUCGGGCCUGGUCAGUACUUGGAUGGGAGACCGCCUGGGAAUACCAGGUGCUGUAAGCA
rnacentral:rRNA from 1 species